rnacentral:snRNA from 1 species
AUUCCUGCGCAGUGGCAGUAUCAUAGUCUAUGAAGUUCUACUGAGACGUGAUUAUUGCUAGUUGAAAAACUUUAACCAAUACCCCGCCUGGUUGAUUUGCAAUAUAAUCAGCUGUGGCAAUUUUUGAUGGUCUCCUUAGAGA